rnacentral:rRNA from 1 species
UGAACAUACCUUCAACGUUGCUUCGGCGGGUUGGCCCCGGUCUCCGGGGUCCCCGGCCCUACUCGGGCGCCCGCCGGAGGUAUCUAACUCUUGAACUUUUAUGGCCUCUCUGAGUCUUUGUACUUAAUAAGUCAAAACUUUCAACAACGGAUCUCUUGGUUCUGGCAUCGAUGAAGAACGCAGCGAAAUGCGAUAAGUAAUGUGAAUUGCAGAAUUCAGUGAAUCAUCGAAUCUUUGAACGCACAUUGCGCCCGCCAGUAUUCUGGCGGGCAUGCCUGUUCGAGCGUCAUUUCAACCAUCAAGCCCCCGGCUUGUGUUGGGGACCUGCGGCUGCCGCAGGCCCUGAAAACCAGUGGCGGGCUCGCUAGUCACUCCGAGCGUAGUAAUACAUCUCGCUCAGGGCGUGCUGCGGGUUCCGGCCGUUAAAAAGCCUUAUUUACCCAAGGUUGACCUCGGAUCAGGUAGGAAGACCCGCUGAACUUAAGCAUAUCAAUAAGCGGAGGAA